CUACGGGUCGCACCAGUGGGGAAUAUUGGACAAUGGGGGAAACCCUGAUCCAGCAAUGCCGCGUGUGUGAAGAAGGCCUGCGGGUUGUAAAGCACUUUCGGUUGGGAGGACUGCUUCUAGCACUAAUAUUGUUGGAAGUUGACGUUACCUUCAGAAGAAGCACCGGCUAACUCCGUGCCAGCAGCCGCGGUAAUACGGGGGGUGCAAGCGUUAAUCGGAAUUACUGGGCGUAAAGCGCGCGUAGGCGGCUAGAUCAGUCGGGUGUGAAAGCCCCGGGCUUAACCGGGGAACUGCAUCCGAUACUGUCUAGCUUGAGUACAGGAGAGGAGAGUGGAAUUCCACAUGUAGCGGUGAAAUGCGUAGAUAUGUGGAGGAACACCAAUGGCGAAGGCAGCUCUCUGGCCUGAUACUGACGCUGAGGUGCGAAAGCGUGGGGAGCAAACAGGAUUAGAUACCCCUGUAGUC
rnacentral:rRNA from 1 species